GCCCUGACAAGACAACUGUUAUAGUAUUCGGCAGAAUGCUGAUCUCGUCCUCUCGCCGGCAUACCUGAGGGACUCUUUUCGGGACGACCAGCUCCGAGUCUGCCGGCUCCUCCCACACCUGGUAGAGAGGCUCUAUCAGUUCACCAGACCUGCGUGAAAAAAAUAAAAGGUUCCGUUUCAUCAUCUCUUCAGCUUGGUGAAAAUACGCACGGCGUACCUUUUUAGCAGAAUGGCUCCAUGUCUGAAGAUGAUGGUGUAAAAGACCGCCUGGCAGGCGGUGUAGAAGGGUCCAUGGAGGCUGAUGUCACAGCAGGCCUGCCCGCCUUUACUAUCCUGACUGUCGAUGUAGCGAUGGAUCCACGGGAUGAGCAGGUCCAGACACGCCCGGACUGUGCUGCGGGAGAUAAGUGCACACUCGAUUAGAUCAGAGUUCAAAUAUCUUGCGGUCUCGGUUACGAGCGAGGGCAAAAUGAAAUGCCAGAUAUUCACGAGAGCAAAAUUGUCAAUAAGCUUACACCACAGGGAUGAAGUUGGCUCUGGCGAGGAAGCUUCCCAUGUAUCCCGCAGCAGCCUGGCGGAGGACAGCGGGCUGAGAUGGACUCUGCAGAAUCUUCCAUAAGUGCUCCAGGAAAGCCUCCCCAAGUGCCUUGAAGACAGAAUGAUGAUUCAAUAUUAAUACAGCCACCCUCGUGAGGGAGGGGAAAAAAAAAGGGGGAGCAGACUCACCACCCUGAAGCUGCAGAGGUAAAAAACCAGACCGCCUGGAAGUGAAGAUAGGAUAGCUCUGAAGAAUGUAUUCCGAUGAUUCCUAGUGGUCCAAGCGGGAGUGACGAGAGAAUAAAACAAGGAGUAAUGGGGUACCGUUGACGAGGCAGACGUCCUUGAUGUACGCCAACAGGAUUGCCAUGAGUGAAUCAAGCCUGUCAGCCACCGGGUGGGACAUGACUUCCAAAUUGGGGGGCUCAUCUGUCUGCAGGUCCUCGUCCUAGUGCACACGCACACAAUUGGAAACUCUACACAAGACGAUGAUAACGAAAAAGAUCUCUUCCGUACCAUAUCAAAGAGGGCCUCUUCGGUAGAGUUGCCUGGCGUAUGGCUUUGAACCCUUUUCUCUUCAGCCUCUUCGAUAUCGGAACGGGAUGCGCUCACCUAAAACGGAAUCGACGUUGUCACCCGGAAAAGAAUGAUCAUUUAUAUGUCCGUGAAAUAAAGCUUACAUCUAGUUUAA